GACGAACGCUGGCGGCGUGCUUAACACAUGCAAGUCGAACGGAAAGGCCCUGCUUUUGUGGGGUGCUCGAGUGGCGAACGGGUGAGUAACACGUGAGUAACCUGCCCUUGACUUUGGGAUAACUUCAGGAAACUGGGGCUAAUACCGGAUAGGAGCUCCUGCUGCAUGGUGGGGGUUGGAAAGUUUCGGCGGUUGGGGAUGGACUCGCGGCUUAUGAGCUUGUUGGUGGGGUAGUGGCUUACCAAGGCUUUGACGGGUAGCCGGCCUGAGAGGGUGGCCGGCCACAUUGGGACUGAGAUACGGCCCAGACUCCUACGGGAGGCAGCAGGGGGGAAUAUUGCACAAUGGGCGGAAGCCUGAUGCAGCAACGCCGCGUGCGGGAUGACGGCCUUCGGGUUGUAAACCGCUUUCGCAGGUGACGAAGCGUGAGUGACGGUAAUGGGUAAAGAAGCACCGGCUAACUACGUG
rnacentral:rRNA from 1 species